CUGGCGGCNUGCUUANNCNUGCAAGUCGAACGGUAACAGGCCUUCGGGUGCUGACGAGUGGCGGACGGGUGAGUAAUACAUGGGAAUCUGCCCUAGGGUGGGGGAUAACGUUGGGAAACUAACGCUAAUACCGCAUAACCUCUUCGGAGCAAAGCGGGGGAUCUUCGGACCUCGCGCCAAAGGAUGAGCCCAUGUCUGAUUAGCUAGUUGGUGGGGUAAUGGCCUACCAAGGCUGCGAUCAGUAGCCGGCCUGAGAGGGUGGACGGCCACACUGGGACUGAGACACGGCCCAGACUCCUACGGGAGGCAGCAGUGGGGAAUAUUGGACAAUGGGGGCAACCCUGAUCCAGCAAUGCCGCGUGUGUGAAGAAGGCCUGCGGGUUGUAAAGCACUUUUGUUGAGGAAGAAUGUGUUUAGGUUAAUAGCCUGAACACUUGACGUUACUCAAAGAAUAAGCACCGGCUAACUCCGUGCCNNNNCNNCCGCGGUAAUACGGAGGGUGCGAGCGUUAAUCGGAAUUACUGGGCGUAAAGCGUGCGUANGCGGAUGUUUAAGUCUGUUGUGAAAUCCCCGGGCUCAACCUGGGAAUGGCAUUGGAUACUGGGCAUCUANAGUGUGGUANAGGGUAGUGGAAUUUCUGGUGUANCGGUGAAAUGCNUANAUAUCNNAAAGACNNCAAUGGCGAANGGNNCUACCUGGGCCNACACUGACNCUGANGGUACNAAAGCGUNGGGGAGCAACAGGAUUANAUACCCUGGNAGUNCNNNNC
rnacentral:rRNA from 1 species